rnacentral:rRNA from 1 species
GGGCCCGCACAAGCGGUGGAGCAUGUGGUUUAAUUCGAUGCAACGCGAAGAACCUUACCUACUCUUGACAUCUACAGGAUCCUGCGGAGACGCGGGAGUGCCUUCGGGAACUGUAAGACAGGUGCUGCAUGGCUGUCGUCAGCUCGUGUUGUGAAAUGUUGGGUUAAGUCCCGCAACGAGCGCAACCCUUAUCCUUGUUUGCCAGCGAGUAAUGUCGGGAACUCCAGGGAGACUGCCGGUGAUAAACCGGAGGAAGGUGGGGACGACGUCAAGUCAUCAUGGCCCUUACGAGUAGGGCUACACACGUGCUACAAUGGCGCAUACAGAGGGCAGCAAGCUAGCGAUAGUGAGCGAAUCCGACAAACCUAGUCGUAGUCCGGAUUGGAGUCUGCAACUCGACUCCAUGAAGUCGGAAUUGCUAGUAAUCG